rfam:Gossypium arboreum cultivar AKA8401 contig_16171_1, whole genome shotgun sequence.
AACCCAUGGUGAGGGCAUCUUCUCAAUAAAUCCUUAUACCUCUCUUAUGCAUCGUAUAGGGUCUCUAAGUCCAUUUGUACAAAGGAAGAGAUAUCAUUCCUCAACUU